UAUUCCGCUGGGAGGGCAGGAGUUGAAGAUCCCAUUGCUGUUACACCUGAGGCAGCUGGUUAAACCCCUUCAGCUGUGGAAGUUACGACGCCGCCUCCUCUGACAGGAGCAAACUCCUGAUUGAGCUGCGCUUUUGUGCGCCGUCAUUAUCGUUAAGUAAGCUGCUGUCUCCCUGCCUAAUGAAGACUGAGAUCAUUCAAGCAGGACAUUAUGAAUAAGACAGGUCUGCUGAUAUAAAGAAAUAUACAGCGCAGAUACAGUCCUGAGACCCUGGCCCUGUUUUGUUUACACCUGUUCCUGGUUUUUAACACAGCAUGACAGGCAUCCCGCCAGGAAAUUAGCUAAAGAUAAACGCCUCAACAAGCAGAUGCCUGCUGGGGGAAAAAGUGUGGAAGGUGGAAAACAAUAUAAGAUUCUCAAAUAAUUGAAAUUAUCAUGAGAUUUACAUCCCCAAAAAGAUCCAGGUGUUUCUUCAACUAUGGCCACACUUGGCCAUGUAGAAAAUAAACUCAUAAAAUGCUGUUUGCACUCUCUCACCAGUAUAAUUUAUGUGGACAGACAUGCAUCAUGGGAGAUUUAUCUUUUUUUUUUAACAAUAGUCACCAGAAUUUAAUUUAA